rnacentral:rRNA from 1 species
CGAACCGUGCAAACGUUAUUCGGAAUCACUGGGCUUAAAGGGCGCGUAGGCGGGCAACCAAGUCCGGGGUGAAAUCCUCCAGCUCAACUGGAGAAGUGCCUCGGAUACUGGCUGCCUCGAGGAGGGUAGGGGCAUCUGGAACUAGCGGUGGAGCGGUGAAAUGCGUUGAUAUCGCUAGGAACUCCGGUGGCGAAGGCGAGGUGCUGGACCCUUUCUGACGCUGAGGCGCGAAAGCCAGGGGAGCGAACGGGAUUAGAUACCCCGGUAGUCCUGGCCCUAAACGAUGAGAACUAGAUAGCGGACUUGAUAUGAGUGCGCUGUCGGAGCAAAAGUGCUAAGUUCUCCGCCUGGGAGUAUGGUCGCAAGGCUG